rnacentral:rRNA from 1 species
UACGGAGGGUGCGAGCGUUGUCCGGAAUCAUUGGGCGUAAAGGGCGCGUAGGUGGCCUGCUAAGCGUGCGGUGAAAGCCUGGGGCUCAACCCCGGGUCGGCCGUGCGAACUGGUGGGCUUGAGCACUGUAGAGGCAGGCGGAAUUCCGGGUGUAGCGGUGGAAUGCGUAGAGAUCCGGAAGAACACCGGUGGCGAAGGCGGCCUGCUGGGCAGUAGCUGACACUGAGGCGCGACAGCGUGGGGAGCAAACAGG